AUUGAACGCUGGCGGAAUGCUUUACACAUGCAAGUCGAACGGUAGAGGGGGCAACCCCUCGAGAGUGGCGAACGGGUGAGUAAUAUAUCGGAACGUGCCCAGUCGUGGGGGAUAACGUAGCGAAAGUUACGAUAAUACCGCAUACGAUCUAAGGAUGAAAGCGGGGGAUUGCAAGACCUCGCGCGAUUGGAGCGGCCGAUAUCAGAUUAGGUAGUUGGUGGGGUAAAGGCUCACCAAGCCAACGAUCUGUAGCUGGUCUGAGAGGACGACCAUCCACACUGGAAAUUAGACACGGUCCAGACGCCUACGGGAGGCAGCAGUGGGAAAUUUUGGACAAUGGACGCAAGUCUGAUCCAGCCAUUCCGCGUGCAGGAUGAAGGCCCUCGGGUUGUAAACUGCUUUUGUACGGAACGAAAAGGUCUCUCUUAAUACGGGGGACUCAUGACGGUACCGUAAGAAUAAGCACCGGCUAACUACGUGCCAGCAGCCGCCGCCG
rnacentral:rRNA from 1 species